rnacentral:piRNA from 1 species
GUCUAAGGCCAGCCUGAGCUAUAUCAUG